UUGAAAGGGAAACGAUUGAAGUCAGUCGUACCGACGAGAAAUCAACUUAUCGUGUGCGAACUUGUGGGCGUGCGUGAGUUUCGGCCUCGCUGUUUGCAUGUUUGUGUGCUUUGGGUGUACUUUUUCGUAUGGUAGGCCAACGUCAGUUUCGAUCACCAUAAAAUGACUGGCGGAAUGUAGCUUCGAUUUCGGUUGAAGUGUUAUAGCCUCUGGUAGAUGUGGUGAUUGGGACUGAGGAUUGCAACGAAUAUCCUUUGGGCUAUCCGUCUGAUCUCUGAAAGUUGCUCAGGUGCCGAAAGCGUGCUUACGGUUAUCUAAGUUGACGGUCAAUAGGUUAGAACGUGAUUACAUUCGUUAAGGAUGUUGACGUA
rnacentral:rRNA from 1 species